CUUAUCACCUUAAGUAUUUAUAAGAGUCGUUAGGUAUUUGUGGUAUAUAGCUUAUUCUAGACAUAUAAUUUUUACCAAAAGCUUUUUCUAAUAUUAUUUUUCUUAUAUCUGCUACUUUUAUAUUUCUAAGUGCAUACAAAAUAAGUAUCUUGAAUUUAUCUACCAUCACAUCAGAUAUAUUAUCAUUCAUUUUCAUAAAUUUGCUUUUUUCAAAAUAUUCCCUUCAAUCACGUACACAACAAAAUAUGGUCAUAUUGGCUUACUAUAUACUAGAUUAUUCUUAAAUAAUAUGUUCUUCCGUCACUAUUAACAUGGUAAUCCGGAUACUUUUUCCCUUAAACAGCGCCUCUACUCUGGUUACUCCCCGCCACGGCUUCUUGCCUCAUUGGUUUCACCUUUAGGAUGGCAUAGUCCUUAGGGAUAUUUCUCCGUUUCCUCUUUGUUAAUAAACUUCUUAACAUAUUAUUCUUCGAAUAAUUCUACUAUAAAGUAACUAAUAUGAAUUUAUUUUAUCAUAUCAUGAUUGUUGGGAAUUAUGAAAUUAGCUAUUCAUAAUCAUAAAUAGAUAUACCUGUUCGGGUAGCUUUGUUAUUUCUGAGUUUUGUUGUUCCAUAGCUUUUUCCAUUGGAGUAUGUUUAUCUAAUUAACUGAGUAAAAUAUUUUUGUGGAUUGGAGAGAGCGGUUGCUUCAACGCAUGAAGGCUUGCCUUU
rnacentral:lncRNA from 1 species